CGGGGCCCGCACAAGCGGUGGAGUAUGUGUUUAAUUCGACGCAACGCGCAGAACCUUUACCUAGACUUGACAUCCCGGGGAUUUUCUGGAAACAGAGAAGUGCUUUAGCAAUAAAGAACCCGGUGACAGGUGCUGCAUGGCUGUCGUCAGCUCGUGUCGUGAGAUGUUGGGUUAAGUCCCGCAACGAGCGCAACCCUCGCCUUUAGUUGCCAGCAUUCAGUUGGGCACUCUAGAGGGACUGCCGGUGUCAAACCGGAGGAAGGUGGGAUGACGUCAAGUCCUCAUGGCCUUUAUGUCUAGGGCUACACACGUACUACAAUGGCCGGUACAAAGGGCAGCCACUCAGCGAUGAGGCGCUAAUCCCAUAAAGCCGGUCUCAGUCCGGAUCGCAGUCUGCAACUCGACUGCGUGAAGUUGGAAUCGCUAGUAAUCGUAGAUCAGCAUGCUACGGUGAAUACGUUCCCGGGCCUU
rnacentral:rRNA from 1 species